GGGGCGGGGUUUAAAUGGACGCAGCCGGACGGCCCUGCGUCAUGACGUCACGAAGAGUUUAUAUACUCGACUCAGCCGCCAUAUCGGUCUUUCGGAGCUAUGCGGCGAAGCUGAGUAGGGAUGGCGCUGUGGAUCGCUGUGAUGGGGCAUCUGGUGGAAUCUCAAGACCAGUUCUGUGGCAAAAAUGGAUGAAGACUGAGGACUCAAUGAGGAAGCUGGAUAACCGAUGAGAGGAAUGUGCUAAAAUGGAAAACCAGAAAAUGAAAUGGUGGAGUUUGAGGCUGAAUAGACAGUAUUAAAACCUACUGUGGUUGCAUGUUUACAUUUGGAUGGCUUGCUUGGGUACAGAUGAUACUUGGAGAAAAGGUAUCACACAAGGGUCCCCUUAACUGAAGGCAUUGUGCAAGAUUAACAAAAUGGUUCUUCAUUCUGAAUUUCAAGGUAAGCCACCUUGUUUUUGUACAGAUUGUAAUAUGGCUUGUAACCAGUGAUGUGGUGAUUCUGCCAAAUGAUACAAAGUGAUAUCACCAUUUAAACCGUUCCAUUUUCUUGCUGAGGUUACUAUAUAGUAACAUGCAACCUGUAACUAUUCUAAGCUAGAUGAGUAAGUUUUUGUUUUUUUCUUAGGGCUACUGUGACAAGCAGCCACAUGGGAUGAGUUGACUGCACCUUUCUAUCUCAGGUGAGAACUGAAAAUGCUUAACCAUGAACCUAUUCCAGAAUACAUGAUGAUCUUACCCCAACUUGAACUCUCUCACUGAUUACUUGAUGACAGUAAAAGAUCUGAUAUUCUGUGUUGUUCUAACAGUUACCACUUAAAAUUGUAGAAAUUUGCCUAACAGCUAUCUCUGUCUGUUGUAGGUGCUGGGAUGGAGGCUUGAAUAGAUGUGUCAGAUUCAUUGUAUUGGCAAGAAUUUUACUAUUAAAGUGCAUUACGUAACA